GACGAACGCUGGCGGCGUGCUUAACACAUGCAAGUCGGGCGGUAAGGCCCUUUCGGGGGUACACGAGCGGCGAACGGGUGAGUAACACGUGGGUGACCUGCCCUCAGCUCUGGGAUAAGCCUGGGAAACCGGGUCUAAUACUGGAUAUGACUCCAUGACGCAUGUUGUGGGGUGGAAAGCCUUGUGCGGCUGAGGAUGGGCCCGCGGCCUAUCAGCUUGUUGGUGGGGUGANGGCCUACCAAGGCGACGACGGUAGCCGGCCUGAGAGGGCGACCGGCCACACUGGGACUGAGACACGGCCCAGACUCCUACGGGAGGCAGCAGUGGGGAAUCUUGCGCAAUGGGCGAAAGCCUGACGCAGCGACGCCGCGUGAGGGAU
rnacentral:rRNA from 1 species